rnacentral:rRNA from 1 species
UACAGAGGUCCCAAGCGUUGUUCGGAUUUACUGGGCGUAAAGAGCUCGUAGGUGGUUUGUCGCGUUGUUCGUGAAAACUCACAACUCAAUUGUGGGCGUGCGGGCGAUACGGGCAGACUGGAGUACUGCAGGGGAGACUGGAAUUCCUGGUGUAGCGGUGGAAUGCGCAGAUAUCAGGAGGAACACCGGUGGCGAAGGCGGGUCUCUGGGCAGUAACUGACGCUGAGGAGCGAAAGCGUGGGGAGCGAACAGG